UACGGAGGGUGCAAGCGUGGUCCGGAUUUAUUGGGUUUAAAGGGUGCGUAGGCGGCCCGGUAAGUCAGUGGUGAAAGCCUCCAGCUCAACUGGAGAACUGCCAUUGAUACUGCCGGGCUUGAGUACAGACGAGGUUGGCGGAAUUGAUUGUGUAGCGGUGAAAUGCAUAGAUACAAUCAAGAACUCCGAUUGCGUAGGCAGCUAACUAGGCUGUAACUGACGCUGAGGCACGAAAGCGUGGGGAGCGAACAGG
rnacentral:rRNA from 1 species